rnacentral:misc_RNA from 1 species
CAUCAAAAUACAUUACAUAAGUUUCAAUUACAAAAAAAAGAAAAUAAAAGUUAGUUACAAAAUAUCAAAAUGAAACCUAGUGUCCUACCAAUGCACUGAAGAUGGUGAGGUGACACGGACACUAUGCAGAACUGCAAGAGGUCUCACCCAGCCUGUGGUCUACUGGGCUCUCGGUCAGUAUCUCCAGAACCGUCUUCCUCAAGAUCGCUGCCAGAAUCG